rnacentral:rRNA from 1 species
AUGCUUCUCCUAAAGACUAAGCCAUGCAUGUCUUCGAAUAAGAGGAAGCAAUUCUCUCUGAAUCUGCGAACGGCUCCGCAAACCAGUUGUAAACUAUAGCAAGCAAGCUCGUGCCCUUCACCGGGUGCGGGCAACACGGAUAACCCUGGUAAUUCUGAGGCUAAUACGAGAUCGUACUCCCUGGCUGACCGGGCAACUGGAAGGACGUGGAGGGUGGUGUGAUUUAGUCACGAGGAAGUCUGCUGGGAAGUGGACG